AUUGAACGCUGGCGGCAGGCUUAACACAUGCAAGUCGAGCGGGGUGAUGGUGCUUGCACUAUCACUUAGCGGCGGACGGGUGAGUAAUGCUUAGGAAUCUGCCUAUUAGUGGGGGACAACAUCUCGAAAGGGAUGCUAAUACCGCAUACGUCCUACGGGAGAAAGCAGGGGAUCACUUGUGACCUUGCGCUAAUAGAUGAGCCUAAGUCGGAUUAGCUAAUUGGCGGGGUAAAGGCCUACCAAGGCGACGAUCUGUAGCGGGUCUGAGAGGAUGGUCCGCCACACUGGGACGGAGGCACGGCCCAGAAUCCUACGGGAGGCAGCAGUGGGGAAUAUUGGACAAAGGGGGGAACCCUGAUCCAGCCAUGCCGCGUGUGUGAAGAAGGCCUUAUGGUUGUAAAGCACUUUAAGCGAGGAGGAGGCUCUUUUGGUUAAUACCCAAGAUGAGUGGACGUUACUCGCAGAAUAAGCACCGGCUAACUCUGUGCCAGCCGCCGCGGUAA
rnacentral:rRNA from 1 species